UAUAUUUUGCAUAUAUUCAAUAUAUAUUUAAUCAUAUAUUUAAUUUUUGCUUUUCGCGAAGGAAAGAUCGCACGGCUACUUCGCCGUCGUUGGAAUUUGUUGAACUAAUACGAAUUAUUUUUGCAUACGUGCGAAACUUUUCAAAACAAAUAGCUCGGAUUGGCGUCACUCGAUCCCGUCGUCGUUUCUCGACCGGGCUCGGGUGGCCGAAGCUUUCUAGAGUUUCUCGACUUUCCUGAGAAGGUUCACGGCUACGGUAGUACCUGUUAGGAAGGGAUCUGGUUUUGAAACGAGUUGUAAUGGCAAUUCGCCACGAGAGAGAGAGACCUGUCGCCGUCGCCGGCGUCGUCGCUCGUCGUCGGCCAUGGUGGGGAGUAAACGAAGUGACGGGAUGGUUCGGAUGGAACUCGAGGACGUUCACCUUUUUUCGUGACUUCGUCGAGGCAGCCAGACACCGUUGAGAUACACCCUCCCCUGCCGACUAGAAUCCUGGACCUGGAUUGACCUAUUCGUCUAUAAUGAUACACGAGAAGCAUCGAUCAUUACAAAAAGGGAUGUAUGUAUACUCUCUGCUGUAUAUCUCCAAAAAAAACAACGAGAAGGAUUGUGUCCGUUACGGACGUGCUUCCGCCGGAAGUGAGACGGAUGGAAGGAUGGAAGAUAAGCAUUGGCCGCGCGACCGGAGCAUAACGGAGUGCGAUGACGAAGGGCAAAAGGACGAAAAAAAAGAAAAAAAGGAUCGUGAAGAAGAUGAAGAAAAGGAAAGAACAGGAAAGGGAAGAGUAGCGCCGUGACCUUGCGAAUCGACUUCCGCAUUGCUGCAGCCGGCAGGCUUUUAUGGAUGCGAGAUAUCUCAAAGAUCGAGAAUAAGGCCAGAUGCGUUUUUAAUUAUUUCGCGGCGGAACGCAAGUAAAGUGUUUUGAUUUUACUCCAGUGAGACGAUUUCUUUUCUCGUAGACCGAAUACUUUAUUAUCUUUCAAUCUUUGAAGGAUUAUAAUACCGAGGAUAGUCGGUAAUAAUAAACCUUCGCGAGAAAGGUUUGUGUAAUAGAAACAAAAGAAUAGUAAGGGAAAGCAAAGACGUCUCGUGAGGUUUAAGUUCCGGGUUGUUGGUUACUAAUGGUUCCACUGUAACUAAUUAUCCACUUGCGGAAAAUUGCUACAUUCCCAUUUGAAUCAGAGGAACCACGGUGUAGAACGAAGAAGAAGAAUAGGAGACAAAAAAGGCAAA